rnacentral:lncRNA from 1 species
GCAGGGGUCCGUGCCUUAAUACCAUCUUUUAAAAAAACUUGUCCGCCGAAUGACAUUUGUAUAGAGGUUUUGUGUUGUUCUGUUUUUUAAGGAUAUAUUUUUCAGUAUGAAGGUUAUUUUCUUAACUUCUGCACUCCGGAGAGUUCUAUUUUGUGGUACCUUCCAUAGUAGACCAGCUGGCUGUUUAAAAAGCACCCUCGAGCAGCUGGAGAACUGUUUUGAAAAUAUAUAUUCACUAUUUAAAGAUGCAAACAAUUGUGCUUUGAAAUACUACACCAAGCAUUAUUUUAAAGGUGAUACUGGAAAGUGCAAUUUUAAUAUCAGUAAAACCUCUGCUGUAUUUCCGCUGGCAUUAAGGGUUGACGGUGUUACCAUGUGUUACCAUGAUGCUUCUGUUUUUGAAAAGAAAUCGGAACACUCAAUCUCUCCUCAGGCCAACAUGGAAAUGACUCGUCACACUCUGAGUCCAAACACUGGAAAGCUGUACCUGUCACCAUUACCUUGGGUUGGUUCUCCAUGUGCCUCGAUUGUUAAACAUGCCCCUCCCAUCCCACCUCACCCCAGUCCCCAUCCCUAGUCCAGCUUCAAAGUUUGGCAAUUCUAGGAUGCAUGAAGAACUCUAUAGAGAAAACAACUGGUGGCUUUUGUACUUCUCCCUGGGUUUUUAAUGGGCUUCUUUGUUUUGUUGUACUGUUUUGUUUUGUUUUGGUUGGGGAGGUAUUAUCUUCUACAUGUGCUCUUUUCAGUAGCAGAGUACGUGUAAGCACCGGGUUUUAAUAUUAUGUUUGCAUAAGACAUCUUCGCAUAGCUAUUUAAUUGUCCAGGAUAAAACUUUAAUUCCCUUUCUGAUGUUUUUAUUUUAUUCCUUUUUGAAGUAUGGGUUUUUAGAGACAAAGAAUGUAUGUUGUUGUGGACAAGAUCCCAAAGACUCUUGUCAGCAGAAAGUUAAGCCUCUAGUUGCCUUAUCAUGUUUCAUGCAAAAUGCUGUGGUCACCGACGGUGUUGGGAACGUUAUGUUUGUUGAAAAGGGCUUUCCUCCUUAGCUGUGCACUCGGUGGCUGAGCUGAAGUGCGGCCCGCAUAUCCAGGAGGAGAGACCUGAAGGAGUUUUAUAAAAGUUUGUAAAUAUCUUCUCAUGCUGACUUUUUAGUCUUUUUAUGUUGCUGAAGUUCACGGUAUAGAGUUUAAUGCAAAGUGAAACCAUUUUAUUUCAAUGUUAUUAAAAAGAUUUGCUUUAUUAGGAAGUAAAUAUAUUGUUGCAGUGUUUUGUGCCUGUUUAAGGGCUUUUGUUUAGCAAAGUGAAUGUAAAAUACAGUAAAAUGUUAAGAUUGUCAUCUCUUCUAUGAACUACAUCAACUUGGAAUUUUGAAAAGGCUCUAUCCAGGAAGUGCGGUGUGCAAUAAGGUAGCAGAUCCACAGUGGUGUUUUUAUGUCAUGUUAGAGAUUUCAUCAAAUCAUUCCAUUCACUGUAUUUCUGUUGAUGGCUGAAUUCUUAUUUGUGGAUUAAUAAUAGGAUCAUGCCCUUAGCAAAUACUUUUAGUUGUUUUUUUUUUUAAUUAAGAGACUCCCAAAUGCCUUCCCCCACCCAUCUUGAUGGGAUGAGUUUUUAUAUAUAUAAGGAAUAUUUAUUUAACUAUUCUAUAAAAUUAUUGAGUGCCUGCUAAGGCCUUUAAACAUUCCUGACAUUCCUUUCCAUCAUUCUUAAAUGACAUAAAGUGAUAGUGCAAUGUUCCUGAUGAGGUACCCAGCAAGCUGCAUCCCAACUCGGAAUCUGUUGGAAUGACUAAUCCAACAAAAUGCAAUUUGGAUCAGAUCUUCAUCCAUUGACUGUGUGAAAGAAGUACUCUCCUUCCUGUGAAGGAUUGUCACAGAGGGUCACUGGAUGAAACUCUGACCCAGUGCUCUUACUGUAUUUUACAUGUGCCUGUAAAUUAUUUGCAAAAAAGAAAAAAAAGUUUUUUAACGGUAUCUUAACAUGGCAACUACCAAACUACCUUAAAAACAAAUGUUGGUGACAGCCAGUUAAGUAUCAGUGAGCCUCCUCUCUGUGGUCUUACCUGUUUCUAUUGUUUCAAAACCAUUUCAUGUACACUACUGAGGUAAGUUUAUAACUUGAAAUGUGAACUUUUUAUUUUUUAGGGGUUAAGAACAAACUACAUAAAUGUUUUUAAAAAAAGUUUUAGAGUUCUGCUUCACGUGCUAUUAGUUUAGUUGUUACUUUUAGCUGCAUUGUAUUUGAAAAGCUUUUUAGAUCUUGCUCCAUUUACAGUACAUUCU